rnacentral:misc_RNA from 1 species
CACGGCGUUCAGUCUUUCGAUCCAGACCGACAACGCCAAGCUGACGCACCAACGCGGGCAGCACCAAUAGGAGACUACGGAUAUGGCCACUGGCACCGUAAAAUGGUUCAACGCAACUAAAGGCUUCGGCUUCAUCGCGCCCGACGGCGGCAGCAAAGACGUGUUUGUACACAUCUCUGCUAUCGAGCGGGCGGGCUUGACCGGCCUCGCCGACAACCAGAAAGUUACUUUCGACAUCGAGCCGGGCCGUGAUGGCCGCGAGUCCGCGUCGAACAUCGCACUGGCAUAAGUCUCUACAAUCGUAGAGCUUUGGAAACGCGGCCCCGUUUGUGGGCCGCGUUUUGC